rnacentral:pre_miRNA from 1 species
UAAAUACUUCUUCCGUCCAACAAAAAAUGUCUCAACUUUGAUCAAAUUUGAAUGCAUCUAUACGCUAAGUCAUGUAUAGAUACAUUCAAAUGUUGACAAACUUGAGACAUCUUUUGUUGGACGGAGAAAGUAUACA